rnacentral:rRNA from 1 species
GACGAACCGUGCGAACGUUGUUCGGAAUCACUGGGCUUAAAGGGCGCGUAGGCGGCCGACCAAGUCCGGGGUGAAAGCCCCCAGCUCAACUGGGGAAGUGCCUCGGAUACUGGCCGGCUUGAGGGAGGUAGGGGCGGAUGGAACUUCCGGUGGAGCGGUGAAAUGCGUUGAUAUCGGAAGGAACGCCGGUGGCGAAAGCGAUCCGCUGGCCCUCUACUGACGCUGAGGCGCGAAAGCCAGGGGAGCAAACGGG